AAAGAGUUAAACAAUUAAAAAAGUUAUUGUAGUAAAAUUAUUUUAAAUAAUUGUUUUGAAAUGAAAUGUUAAUCGUUUUUAAAUAUAUCUAGUUUUUUUAGAAAAAAAUUUAAUUUUAAAUUUAUUUUAAAAAUUAAAUUAAUUAAUUAAUUUAAUUUAAAAUAAUUUUUAUAUUUUAAGGGAUAAGCUUUAAAUUAAAUUUUUAUAAUAAAAUUUUUUAAUAUUUGAAAAUUUUAGGAUUUAUAUUGUUAAUAAAUUUUAUUUUGUUAUAAAUAAAUUUCAUUUAAAUUAAAAUUUAAUAAAAUUUAUAUUUAAUUUUUUAUAAAAAAAUAUUUUUUAAUAAUAAAAAAUUAGAAAUAAUGAUAAAAUUAGUAUAUAAAAAAAAAUUAAUUUUAAUUUAAAAAGUUAUAAAUUAAUUAAUUAAAAGGAAUUCGGCAAAUAUUUAUUUUCACUUGUUUAUCAAAAACAUGUCUUUUUGUUUAUAAUUUAAAGUCUAAUCUGCCCACUGAUUUUAAUUAAAGGGCUGCAGUAUUUUGACUGUACAAAGGUAGCAUAAUCAUUAGUCUUUUAAUUGAUGACUUGUAUGAAAGAUUGAAUGAAAAAUUUACUGUCUCUUAAUUAAUUUAUAGAAUUUAAUUUUUUAUUUAAAAAGUUAAAAUAUUUUAAAAAGACGAGAAGACCCUAUAGAGUUUUAUAAUUAAAAUUUUAAUAAAUUAUUUAUAAAAUUAAUAUUUUUAUAAAUUUAAUUAUUUUAUUGGGGUGAUGAAAAAAUAAAUAAAACUUUUUUUAAUAAAUUAACAAAUAUAGUUGAUUAUGUGAUCCAAUAUUAUUGAUUAUAAGAUUAAAUUACCUUAGGGAUAACAGCGUAAUUUUUUUUUUUAGUUCAAAUAGGAAAAAAAGUUUGCGACCUCGAUGUUGGAUUAAGAUAAAAUUUAAAUGCAAAAGUUUAAAAUUUUUG
rnacentral:rRNA from 1 species